GUACACGCUGUGACUAGCAUAUCAAUAAGCGGAGGAAAAGAAACUAACAAGGAUUCCCCUAGUAACGGCGAGUGAAGCGGGAAGAGCUCAAAUUUGAAAUCUUAAAGGGUUUUCCCUUUACGAAUUGUAGUUUAAAGAAGUGUUUUUCUGUUGAGGUUUUGGUAAAAGUUCUUUGGAAUAGGACAUCAUAGAGGGUGAGAAUCCCGUAUUUGACCUUUACUUUCAACUUUGUGAUACACUUUCGAAAGAGUCGGAUUGUUUGGGAAUGCAGUCCAAAAUGGGUGGUAAAUUUCAUCUAAAGCUAAAUAUUGGCGAGAGACCGAUAGCGAACAAGUACCGUGAGGGAAAGAUGAAAAGAACUUUGAAAAGAGAGUUAAACAGUACGUGAAAUUGUCAAAAGGGAAGCGUUUGACACCAGUGUUGUCUUUUCUGAAAAUCAAUUAAAGGAACUGUUUAUGCUAAGCUGUUUAGACUUUAUCAGCUAUCUGUUUAGUUUUGAGCUUUUCUUUAAUGCACUUUUCAGUUAACAAGUCAACAUCAAUUUCUUUUGCUGUAAAAAAAGCUUGAGGAAGGUGGCUUGAGAUUCGUCUUAAGUGUUUAUAGCCCCUUGCCUAUGCAGUCGGAGAGAUUGAGGUCUGCAGCGUAGAUCCUUCGGGGCUAAAUGCAUUUGUGCUAAGUUAUAGCAUUUUAUAGACAACUUGUUGACUAUGAUUUGUCUUGUAGCUUACUCGCUUAUGUUAUUUUACCUACGCUUAGGAUGUUGAUAUGCAUGACUGAUAU
rnacentral:rRNA from 1 species